ACCAAUAGCCUAAAUACCCUGAAGGCACACGAUCCCAUGUGGUCUCAAAAGCUAAACAGGGUCAUGUCUGGUUAGUCAUUGGCAAGGCAGAUCCUCUGGAAAUAUUAGGUACUGUAGAUC
rnacentral:rRNA from 1 species